rnacentral:rRNA from 1 species
GAUGAACGCUGGCGGCGUGCCUAAUACAUGCAAGUCGAGCGAACAGAUGAGGAGCUUGCUCCUCUGACGUUAGCGGCGGACGGGUGAGUAACACGUGGAUAACCUACCUAUAAGACUGGGAUAACUUCGGGAAACCGGAGCUAAUACCGGAUAAUAUAUUGAACCGCAUGGUUCAAUAGUGAAAGACGGUUUUGCUGUCACUUAUAGAUGGAUCCGCGCCGCAUUAGCUAGUUGGUAAGGUAACGGCUUACCAAGGCAACGAUGCGUAGCCGACCUGAGCGGGUGAUCGGCCACACUGGAACUGAGACACGGUCCAGGCUCCUACGGGAGGCAGGAGUAGGGAAACUUCCGCAAUGGGCGAAAGCUUGACGGAGCAACGCCGCGUGAGUGAUGAAGGUCUUCGGAUCGUAAAACUCUGUUAUUAGGGAAGAACAAAUGUGUAAGUAACUAUGCACGUCUUGACGGUACCUAAUCAGAAAGCCACGGCUAACUACGUG